rfam:Candidatus Colwellbacteria bacterium RBG_13_48_8 RBG_13_scaffold_6483, whole genome shotgun sequence.
AAUUUCUCUAGUAAGGGCACACGGUGGAUGCCUUGACACGGAAUAGCGAAGAAGGACGCGGCGUAGCGGCGAUACGCCUCGGGGAGGUGCGUAGCAACCUUCGAUCCGGGGAUUUCCGAAUGGGGAAACCUGACAGAGCAAACCUCUGUCGUUCCAAUACAUAAGUGAUUGGAAAGCAUACCUGGCGAAGUGAAACAUCUCAGUAGCCAGAGGAAAGGAGAACGAAGUUUAUUCCCCUAGUAGCGGCGAGCGAAAAGGGAAGAGCCCAAACUCAGAAACCUUAUUAAGUUUGAGGAACUGGGGGUUGUAAGACGGAAACUUUCUUUCCCUGACUGAUGAUCAGAUUCAUACAGCCCAUAGGGAUGUAUGAGCUAAGCUUAAUAUCAUCAGUUAGGUAAAGAGGAGAGUUACAAAUUCAUUUGCUAGCAGAAUCUGCUGGAAGGCAGAGCGACAAAAGGUGACAGCCCUGUAUGCGAAAGCGAAUGGACUUUCCGUUUCUGAUCUUGAGUACCCCAAGGCACGAAAGCAUUGGGGGAAACAUCCCGGACUACCGGGAAAGGCUAAAUAUAUUCCGUGAUCGAUAGUGAACAAGUACCGUGAGGGAAAGGUGAAAAGCAGCCCGGAGAGGGCGGUGAAAUAGACCUGAAACCGUGUGCUUACAAAGAGUCGGAGGGGUAGAAGUAUGCGCAAGCUUACUUCACCCUGACGGCGUGCUUUUUGUAGAACGACCCAGCGAGUUUAUGCGUGUUGCAAGCUUAAUCCGCUUUAAGCGGUGUAGGCAUAGCGAAAGCUAGUGUUAAUAGCGCGUUAGUAGCUCGCAUAAGACCCGAAGCCGAGCGAGCUUGUCUUGACCAGGGUGAAGGUCGCCGAAGGGCGGCUGGAGGCCCGCACCAGUAGGUGAGGUAAAGCCUUUGGAUGAGUUGAGAUAAGAAGUGAAAAGCUAAUCGAGCUCGGUAAUAGCUGGUUCUCUCCGAAACAGUUUUAGGACUGGCGUCAAGUAUUUCUUCCCGGGGGUAGAGCACUGGAUGGUCUGUGUCGGGCGCAAGCCUAGCAGGCCAAUCAAACUCCGAAUACCGGGGAGCGCAGCUUGGCAGUUAGACUGUGGGGGCUAAGCUCCAUGGUCGAAAGGGAAACAGCCCAGACCGUCAUCUAAGGUCCUUAAGUGCUUGCUAAGUGUUUAAGGUUGUAGUUUGCCAUUAACAGAUAGGAGGUUGGCUUAGAGGUAGCCAUCCUUUAAAGAAAGUGUAACAACUCACUAUUCGAUGGUAGACUGCGCCGAAGAUUUGCGGGGCUCAAGCAAGCCACCGAAGAUACGGGUCCGACCUUGCGUCGGACGGUAGGAGAGCAUUCCCAGGGCGUUGAAGCCUGAGCCGUGAGGCAGGGUGGAGCGUUGGGAAGAGAGAAUGCUGGGAUGAGUAACCACAAAUUCGGUGAGAAACCGAAUCCCCGAAAACUCAAGGUUUCCGUGGCGAUGGCAAUCAACCACGGGUUAGGCGGGCCUAAGGCGAUGGCGAAAGCUGUAGUCGAUGGACAGCUGGCUAAUAUUCCAGCCCGCCAGCAUAGUUCGAAGAAAUAACGGGGCACAUAAGGAAGAUUGGAUUAUUGGUUUUCCAUUGCUUGUUCUAAGAGUCGGCGCUUAGGUAAAUCCGGGCGUCUGCCUUUAAUGGCAAGAUUCGGGAACUGGCAGAAGGUCAAGUUUUUACUUGGCCGACUUUUCUGAAGAGGCCUCCCAGAAAAAUUUCUAAGGUUAACUAUGUUGGCCCCGUACCGCAAACCAACACAGGUGAGCAGGGCGAGGAGCCCAAGGGGAACGAGUGAGUCCUCGCUAAGGAACUCGGCAAGAAAGCGACCGUAACUUUGGGAUAAGGUCUGGUCCGAUUUAUAUCGGACCCGCAGCGAAAGAUUCCCUAGCGACUGUUUAACAAAAACACAGCUUCCUGCGAACUCGUAAGAGGAUGUAUAGGAGGUGACGCCUGACCGAUGCGAGAAGGUUAACGCUGGAGGUCAAAGAUUAGUCUUCGGAUUAAUUUUUGGCUUACUGGCCGAAGCCCUCGUCAAUNNNNNNNNUAACUAUAACCGUUCUAAGGUAGCGCAAUUCCUUUCCGGGUAAGUUCCGGAGCGCACGAAUGGCGUAACGACUGGGGAGCUGUCUCAGCGAGGAGCUCGGUGAAAAUGCAAUUCCCGUGAAGAUGCGGGAUACCUGCAGUGGGACGAGAAGACCCCGGGAGCUUUACUGUAGCUUGGUAUUGGCCAUAGGGCUUGUAUGCGCAGCGUAGCGGGGAGGCUUUGAAGCUCUGACUUCGGUUGGAGUGGAGCCGCCAAUGAGACACCCGCCUUAUAGGUCUUAUGUUCUAACCCCGACGGCAAAAACGUUGAGGGACAGUGCCUGGCGGGCAGUUUAGAUGGGGCGUUUUCCUCCUAAAGAGUAACGGAGGAGUUUAUUAAGGUUGGCUUGGUCCGGAUGGAAAUCGGGCCCAAAGUGUAAAGGCAUAAGCCAGCUUGACUGCAAGACCUACAAGUCGCGCAGGUGCGAAAGCAGAACUUAGCGACCCGACAGUUCUUUGUAGAACGGCUGGAGACAUCGGAUAAAAGCUACCCCGGGGAUAACAGGCUAGUACCGCCCGAGAGUCCAUAUCGACGGCGGUGUUCGGCACCUCGAUGUCGGCUCACCUUAUCCUGGGGCUGAAGAAGGUCCCAAGGGUUUGGCUGUUCGCCAAUUAAAAAGGUACGCGAGCUGGGUUCAAACCGUCGUGAGACAGGUUGGUCUUUAUCUACUGCAGGCGUGAAACACUUGAGGGAAUUCGACCCUAGUACGAGAGGACCGGGUUGAGCGAACCUCUGGUCUACCAGCUUUGACACCAGUUGAAGCGCUGGGUAGCUAAGUUCGUGUUGGAUAAGCGCUGAAAGCAUCUAAGCGCGAAGCCGCACCCAAGAUUAGGUGUAGGUCCCCCGGAAGACCACCGGGUUGAUAGGCUCUAGGUAUAAGCACAGUAAUGUGUUGAGCCGAGGAGUACUAAUGGACCGUUUUCUCUGAUUUU